UGUUUGAUUGGCUUAUUGCACCACAUGUGUUUUUUAUUGAACAAAUUUCUUUGGUGGCGGGAGCAAUCCUACCGCCAGAGGUUAUAACUAAACCAAACUUUUUAUUUACAGUCAAACUUGAUUUAUUAUUACAAUAGUCAAAACUUUCAACAACGGAUCUCUUGGUUCUCGCAUCGAUGAAGAACGCAGCGAAAUGCGAUACGUAAUAUGAAUUGCAGAUAUUCGUGAAUCAUCGAAUCUUUGAACGCACAUUGCGCCCUUUGGUAUUCCAAAGGGCAUGCCUGUUUGAGCGUCAUUUCUCCCUCAAACCCCCGGGUUUGGUGUUGAGCAAUACGCUAGGUUUGUUUGAAAGAAUUUAACGUGGAAACUUAUUUUAAGCGACUUAGGUUUAUCCAAAAACGCUUAUUUUGCUAGUGGCCACCACAAUUUAUUUCAUAACUUUGACCUCAAAUCAGGUAGGACUACCCGCUGAACUUAAGCAUAUCAAUAGCCGGGAGGAA
rnacentral:rRNA from 1 species